AGAUCGCUUGAACCUGGGAGGUGAAGGUUGCAGAGAGCCAAGCUUGCGCCACUGCACUCUAGCCUGGGUGACAGAG
rnacentral:snRNA from 1 species